rnacentral:rRNA from 1 species
UACGUAGGGGGCGAGCGUUGUCCGGAUUCAUUGGGCGUAAAGCGCUUUAAGGCGGUUCGCUAAGUCGGGUGUGAAACCUCCAGGCUCAACCUGGAGACGCCACUCGAUACUGGCGUGACUAGAGUUCGGUAGGGGAUCACGGAAUUCCUGGUGUAGCGGUGAAAUGCGCAGAUAUCAGGAGGAACACCUGCGGUGUAGACGGCUUUCUGGACCAUAGCUGACGCUGAGACACGAAAGCGUGGGUAGCAAACAGG